CCCUUAGAUGUUCUGGGCCGCACGCGUGCUACACUGAGUGGAUCAGCGGGUCAGGUUGCGCGAAAGCGUUUCCUAAUCUCUAAAUCCGCUCGUGAUGGGGAUUGACGGUUGCAAUUUUCUGUCAUGAACGAGGAAUACCUUGUAAGCGCGGGUCAUCAUCCCGCGCUGAAUACGUCCCUGCCCUUUGUACACACCGCCCGUCGCUCCUACCGAUUGAGUGGUCCGGUGAGGCUUUGGGAUCUGAGCGGAAAGAGCGUUUCGCUGUUUCUGCUCGGAAAACUCAGUCGAACCUUAUCAUUUAGAGGAAGGAGAAGUCGUAACA
rnacentral:rRNA from 1 species